rnacentral:rRNA from 1 species
UACGUAGGUGGCAAGCGUUAUCCGGAUUUACUGGGUGUAAAGGGCGUGUAGGCGGGACUGCAAGUCAGAUGUGAAAAUUAUGGGCUCAACCCAUGACCUGCAUUUGAAACUGUAGUUCUUGAGUGAUGGAGAGGCAGGCGGAAUUCCGUGUGUAGCGGUGAAAUGCGUAGAUAUACGGAGGAACACCAGUGGCGAAGGCGGCCUGCUGGACAUUAACUGACGCUGAGGCGCGAAAGCGUGGGGAGCAAACAGG